CUGGGAAUCUUGCGCAAUGGACGAAAGUCUGACGCAGCGACGCCGCGUGGAGGAUUGAAGGCCCUCGGGUUGUAAACUCCUUUUGACUGGGAAGAUUAUGACUGUACCAGUAGAAUAAGCACCUGCUAACUACGUGCCAGAAGCCUCGGUAAUACGUAGGGUGCAAGCGUUAUCCGGAUUUAUUGGGCGUAAAGUGUUGCGUAGGCUGAUUUGCGCAUUUUGUUUAAAAGACUAAGGCUCAACCUUAGUUUUGGGCAAAAUAUGGCAAAUCUUGAUGGCUUAAGAGGGUACUGGAACUGAUUAUGUAGCAGUGAAAUGCGUUGAUAUGAUCAGGAACACCAAAGGCGUAGGCAGGUACCUGGGAAGCACAUGACGCUGAGGCACGACAGCUUGGGGAGCGAAAAAG
rnacentral:rRNA from 1 species